GUGCCAGCCGCCGCGGUAAUACGUAGGUGGCAAGCGUUGUCCGGAUUUAUUGGGCGUAAAGCGAGCGCAGGCGGUUUUUUAAGUCUGAUGUGAAAGCCUUCGGCUCAACCGAAGAAGUGCAUCGGAAACUGGGAAACUUGAGUGCAGAAGAGGACAGUGGAACUCCAUGUGUAGCGGUGAAAUGCGUAGAUAUAUGGAAGAACACCAGUGGCGAAGGCGGCUGUCUGGUCUGUAACUGACGCUGAGGCUCGAAAGUAUGGGUAGCAAACAGGAUUAGAUACCCUGGUAGUCCAUACCGUAAACGAUGAAUGCUAAGUGUUGGAGGGUUUCCGCCCUUCAGUGCUGCAGCUAACGCAUUAAGCAUUCCGCCUGGGGAGUACGGCCGCAAGGCUGAAACUCAAAGGAAUUGACGGGGGCCCGCACAAGCGGUGGAGCAUGUGGUUUAAUUCGAAGCUACGCGAAGAACCUUACCAGGUCUUGACAUACUAUGCAAAUCUAAGAGAUUAGACGUUCCCUUCGGGGACAUGGAUACAGGUGGUGCAUGGUUGUCGUCAGCUCGUGUCGUGAGAUGUUGGGUUAAGUCCCGCAACGAGCGCAACCCUUAUUAUCAGUUGCCAGCAUUAAGUUGGGCACUCUGGUGAGACUGCCGGUGACAAACCGGAGGAAGGUGGGGAUGACGUCAAAUCAUCAUGCCCCUUAUGACCUGGGCUACACACGUGCUACAAUGGAUGGUACAACGAGUUGCGAACUCGCGAGAGUAAGCUAAUCUCUUAAAGCCAUUCUCAGUUCGGAUUGUAGGCUGCAACUCGCCUACAUGAAGUCGGAAUCGCUAGUAAUCGCGGAUCGGCAUGCCGCGGUGAAUACGUUCCCGGGCCUUGUACACACCGCCCGU
rnacentral:rRNA from 1 species